rnacentral:lncRNA from 1 species
UUUAUCUUCUUUGUUUACCUCUUUUGAAUUUUGUUUUGUUUUUUUUGUUGUUGUAUUGUGUUGGUGGUGGCGAGAUGUGGUGGUGAUAGUAGUGGUUCGGGUUAAUUAUGAAGGUUGUUUUGACUGAAACAGUGGUGGUCGGUUCUAUUGAGUAGUAAGGAGGGAUUAUGAUAAUGAUUCAGGAUGAAAGUUAAAGGUGGUUAUGGUGUGAUGGUGAGAGGAUGAGGAAGGUCAGAGGGGGUUAUGAAGAUAAUGAAAGGGUGGUGCUUGGAGCUACUUCAAAGUUUCUUCCUCUUGAACAAACCUUCACUUGUUGAAGAACUUUUUGCAAAUUUUUCGUAUGG